rnacentral:tRNA from 1 species
GCACGAGUGGUGGAAUUGGUAGACUCGCCGGCUUCAGGUGCCGGUGCUCGCGAGGGCGUGUGGGUUCGAGUCCCACCUCGUGCACCA